rnacentral:rRNA from 1 species
GUUGGUCCUAAAUAGAUUGAACGCUGGCGGGAUGCUUUACACAUGCAAGUCGAACAGCAGCACGGACUUCGGUCUGGUGGCGAGUGGCGAACGGGUGAUAAUGUCGGAACGUGCCUAGUAGCGGGGGAUAACUACGCGACAGCUAAUACCGCAUACGCCCUUCGAGGAAAGCGGGGGGACCUUCGGGCCUCGCACGAUUAGAGCAGCCGAUAUCGGAUUAGCUAGUUGGUGGGGCAGCGGCUCACCAGGCGACGAUCCGUAGCUGGUUUGAGAGGACGACCAGCCACACUGCGGGACUGAGACACGGCCCAGACUCCUACGGGAGGCAGCAGUGGGAAUUUUGGACAGUAGGGAAACCUGAUCCAGCCAUCCCGCGUGUGCGAUGAAGGCCUUCGGGUUGUAAAGCACUUUUGGCAGAAGAAACUGGCCUGGGAUAAUACCCCGUGCAACUGAUGUCACCUGCAGAAUAAAGCACCGGCUAACCGUGCGGCAACCCGCGGUAUGCAUCAGGUGCAAGCGUUAAUCAGAUUACUGGGCGUAAAGCGUGCGCAGGCGGUUCGGAAGAAAGAUGUGAAAUCCCAGAGCUUAACUUUGGAACUGCAUUUUUAACUACCGAGCUAGAGUGUGUCUGAGAGGUGGAAUUCCGCGACAGCAGUGAAAUGCGUAGAUAUGCGGAGGAACACCGAUGGCGAAGGCAGCCUGGGAUAACACUGACGCUCAAUGCACGAAAGCGUGAGGCAAACAGGUUAGAUACCUGGUAGUCCACGCCUAAACGAUGUCAACUGGCUGUUGGGCCUUCGGGCCUUGGUAGCGCAGCCUAACGCGUGAAGUUGACCGCUGCCAGGUACGGUCGCAGAUUCUUCGCUCAAAGGAAUUGACGGGGACCCGCACAAAAGCGGUGGAUGAUGUGGAUUAAUUCGAGUGCAACGCGAAAAACUGCCUACCCUUGACAUGUCUGGAAUCCCGAAGAAAGGUUUGGGAGUGCUCGCGAAACCGGAACACGGGUGCUGCAUGGCUGUCGUCAGCUCGUGUCGUGAGAUAUUUGGGUUCAAGUCCCGCAACGAGCGCAACCCGCUGUCAUUAGUUGCUACGAAAGGGCACUCCCUGACUAGGACUGCCGGUGACAAGCCGGAGAGGUGGGGAUGACGUCAGAUCCUCAUGGCCCAUAUGGGUAGGGCUUCACGUCAUACAAUGGUCGGGACAGAGGGUCGCCAACCCGCGAGGAGCCAAUCCCAGAAACCCCGAUCGUAGUCCGGAUCGCAGUCUGCAACUCGACUGCGUGAGAUCAGGAAUCGCUAGUAAUCGCGGAUCAGCAUGUCGCGGUGAAUACGUUCCCGGGUCUUGUACACACCGCCCGUCACACCAUGGGAAUUGGGUUUUACCAGAAGUAGUUAGCCUAACCGUAAGGAGGGCGAUUACACGGUGGUUCAUGACUGGGGUGAAGUCGUAACAAGGUAA